UCUUAAUGAUGAUAUUUAGAGUCUCACGACGUCUGAACGAAAUGUGACGCAACUACACUCUCCUGAU
rnacentral:snoRNA from 1 species